UGGGGGCUCAACCCCCAGCUGCAGUGGGUACGGGCAGACUAGAGUGCGGUAGGGGAGAUUGGAAUUCCUGGUGUAGCGGUGGAAUGCGCAGAUAUCAGGAGGAACACCGAUGGCGAAGGCAGAUCUCUGGGCCGAACUGACGCUGAGGAGCGAAAGGGUGGGGAGCAAACAGGCUUAGAUACCCUGGUAGUCCACCCCGUAAACGUUGGGAACUAGUUGUGGGGCCGUGACGCAGCUAACGCAUUAAGUUCCCCGCCUGGGGAGUACGGCCGCAAGGCUAAAACUCAAAGGAAUUGACGGGGACCCGCGCAAGCGGCGGAGCAUGCGGAUUAAUUCGAUGCAACGCGAAGAACCUUACCAAGGCUUGACAUACAGGUGGUGCAUGGUUGUCGUCAGCUCGUGUCGUGAGAUGUUGGGUUAAGUCCCGCAACGAGCGCAACCCUCGUUCUAUGUUGCAACUCAUGGGAUACUGCCGGGGUCAACUCGGAGGAAGGUGGGGAUGACGUCAAAUCAUCAUGCCCUUAUGUCUUGGGCUUCACGCAUGCUACAAUGGCCGGUACAAAGGGCUGCAAUACCGUAAGGUGGAGCGAAUCCCAAAAAGCCGGUCCCAGUUCGGAUUGAGGUCUGCAACUCGACCUCAUGAAGUCGGAGUCGCUAGUAAUCGCAGAUCAGCACGCUGCGGUGAAUACGUUCCCGGGUCUUGUACACACCGCCCGUC
rnacentral:rRNA from 1 species